GUCUUUUGUUUUUCACUGACACUGGAGGAGUGACUGGGGAGUUUCUGCUAGAACUCACUAAGCCAGUUGCCCUGACUGAAUGGGAGCUUCUACACUAUCCCAAAAAGAGGAUGCCCCACAAGAUCAGAAGGACUGAUGACUGGAUGAGGAAACCCAGCCAAGACCCUUGCCCCAAGGGACAAGGAGAGUCCUCUGGAGCCCAGGACCUCUCACUACAAAACUGUAGUCAGCUCUUUCUAACACUAGUUCUGCCCCCAAAGGCCUUUGAUCACAACACUCAUGGCAGGCAAGUACUGUGAGUACCAUCCUUCAUCCCAGGUGUUCUGGAAUGGUGAAUGAUCAUUGUGUUGCAUCACAAAAUCAUAGAAUUCCAAACGGAAGGAGCUUUGGAGAUCAUGCCGUUGUAAGCCCUUCAUUUUAUAAUUGGGGAAACAGAGGCUUAGAGACAUGAAGGCAACAUAGGCGGUGGAGAUUGGAGGACAUUCCCUUGUGAGUAUCAAAAAUCAGGAGAAUAAGCCAUUGGCAGAUCUAGAAGUGGAAUUCAUUCUGGGAUUUGUAAUCAACGGGUCCAACUUUGAGACUCAGGAAGUGGGUCUCAACCUUUGGACCUAGCCUUGUGGUAACUGAGACAAUUAUUCAUCCAGUAGAGACAUUGCAUUUGAAUAUGAAGUUGGUAGGACCAAUGUUAUAUAGAAGCUGCAUUAAGUCUGCGUCUACGUUCCCCAAGGACUGAUGUGGUAUGGGAAACUUGUGCCCCUGUAAAAUGUUAGUACUUCUUAUAUCUUUGAAGUAAACAUCCCUUUGUAAAAGCAAAUUGAUGUUAAUUGGUUAAAUGGAACUGGAGUACUAGUAGUGAUACUGGUUACUAAUAGUGAGAGGGACACACUGUGAAUGGGGACUUGACUCAAUCCCAUUAGAAAGAAACACCCUCAACCCCUCAGGGAUACCCGUAGGACCUUGGAAACUUUGCUCUGGAAGAAGGAGGCUAGAGAACUUGCUACCUAGGUAGUGUAAGUAUUUAACA